rnacentral:hammerhead_ribozyme from 1 species
GUCCAGCUGACGAGUCCCAAAUAGGACGAAACGUACGUUUUGAAU